CUCAGACUCGUACCGCCGCCAACAGAGACCCCCUUGCCAGGGACCCGGAUUCCUGGUUCCCACGCAGGCCUCACGGCCUUGCAGCAGCCUCAGGGCAUAGUCUCCACAGGGAACAAUCUCAUCUCUCUGAAGUCAACUCAUGAAAGUUCUACUUGAUCCAUUUCUGCAAACAUCUGCUGUUCCCUACCACCAGGGUCACACGAGGCAGAACACCAACCAGCCGAGAAAACGGGAACGAAGAGGAGAAGCUGUGAUGCGGGAACAU